rnacentral:rRNA from 1 species
GAUGAACGCUGGCGGCGUGCCUAAUACAUGCAAGUCGAGCGAACAGACGAGGAGCUUGCUCCUCUGACGUUAGCGGCGGACGGGUGAGUAACACGUGGAUAACCUACCUAUAAGACUGGGAUAACUUCGGGAAACCGGAGCUAAUACCGGAUAUUUUAUUGAACGGCUGGUUUCAUUGGUGAAAGAGGGUUUGGUGGUCCCUAUUGGUUGAUCCGCGCCGCAUUAGGUAGUUGGUAAGGUAACGGCUUACCAAGGCGACGAUGCGUAGCCGACCUGAGAGGGUGAUCGGCCACACUGGAACUGAGACACGGUCCAGACUCCUACGGGAGGCAGCAGUAGGGAAUCUUCCGCAAUGGGCGAAAGCCUGACGGAGCAACGCCGCGUGAGUGAUGAAGGUCUUCGGAUCGUAAAACUCUGUUAUUAGGGAAGAACAAAUGUGUAAGUAACUAUGCACGUCUUGACGGUACCUAAUCAGAAAGCCACGGCUAACUACGUG